rnacentral:rRNA from 1 species
AUUGAACGCUGGCGGCAGGCUUAACACAUGCAAGUCGAGCGGAGAGAGGUAGCUUGCUACUGAUCUUAGCGGCGGACGGGUGAGUAAUGCUUAGGAAUCUGCCUAUUAGUGGGGGACAACAUUUCGAAAGGAAUGCUAAUACCGCAUACGUCCUACGGGAGAAAGCAGGGGAUCUUCGGACCUUGCGCUAAUAGAUGAGCCUAAGUCGGAUUAGCUAGUUGGGGGGGUCAAGGCCUCCCAAGGCGACGAGCUGUAGCGGGUCUGAGAGGAUGGUCCGCCAAACUGGGACUGAGACACGGCCCAGACUCCUACGGGAGGCAGGAGUGGGGAAUAUUGGACAAUGGGCGCAAGCCUGAUCCAGCCAUGCCGCGUGUGUGAAGAAGGCCUUAUGGUUGUAAAGCACUUUAAGCGAGGAGGAGGCUACUUUAGUUAAUACCUAGAGAUAGUGGACGUUACUCGCAGAAUAAGCACCGGCUAACUCUGUGCCAGCCGCCGCCGUAAAAC